UGGGAGCGUACCUUUCGGUUCGGAAUAAUACAGGGAAACUUGUACUAAUACCGGAUACGCCCUUUGGGGGAAAGAUUUAUCGCCGAAAGAUCGGCCCGCGUCUGAUUAGCUAAUUGGUGAGGUAAUGGCUCACCAAGGCGACGAUCAGUAGCUGGUCUGAGAGGAUGAUCAGCCACACUGGGACUGAGACACGGCCCAGACUCCUACGGGAGCAG
rnacentral:rRNA from 1 species